UGGGGAAUAUUGGACAAUGGGCGCAAGCCUGAUCCAGCAAUGCCGCGUGUGUGAAGAAGGCCUUCGGGUUGUAAAGCACUUUUAUCAGGAGCGAAACGCUGUCGGCUAAUACCCGGCGGAACUGACGGUACCUGAGGAAUAAGCACCGGCUAACUUCGUGCCAGCAGCCGCGGUAAUACGAAGGGUGCAAGCGUUAAUCGGAAUUACUGGGCGUAAAGCGUGCGUAGGCGGUUUCUUAAGUCUGCUGUGAAAUCCCCGGGCUCAACCUGGGAAUGGCAGUGGAUACUGGGAGGCUAGAGUGUGUCAGAGGGUGGUGGAAUUCCCGGUGUAGCGGUGAAAUGCGUAGAGAUCGGGAGGAACAUCAGUGGCGAAGGCGGCCACCUGGGACAACACUGACGCUGAGGCACGAAAGCGUGGGGAGCAAACAGGAUUAGAUACCCUGGUAGUCCACGCCCUAAAAGCGAUGCGAACUGGAUGUUGGUCUCAACUCGGAGAUCAGUGUCGAAGCUAACGCGUUAAGUUCGCCGCCUGGGGAGUACGGUCGCAAGACUGAAACUUAAAUG
rnacentral:rRNA from 1 species